CAGCCUACGGGAGGCAGCAGUGGGGAAUAUUGGGCAAUGGAGGCAACUCUUACCCAGCAAUGCCGCGUGAAUGAAGAAGGUCUUCGGAUUGUAAAGUUCUUUAAUUGGGGACGAAAAAAAUGACGGUACCUGAGUAAGAAGCACCGGCUAAAUACGUGCCAGCAGCCGCGGUAAUACGUAUGGUGCAAGCGUUAUCCGGAUUUACUGGGUGUAAAGGGAGCGCAGGCGGCACGGCAAGCCUGAUGUGAAAGCCCGCGGCCCAACCGCGGGACUGCAUUGGGAACUAC
rnacentral:rRNA from 1 species